rnacentral:lncRNA from 1 species
AGUUCUUCAUCUCCUGCAACUGAUUCCGACCAACACGAAUUCCUCCUCUCUGCAGAUGUCCUCGUCGGAUGUGGGAGUGGUGCCGGACGUGAGCGCGAUGGCGGACAUCACCAACCCCUACGGCGCCGCCGUGGUGGUGCAGUCGACGGCUCAGGUGGCGGUGGGGCUGGAUCGGGAGGCCCGUGUGAUGAGGUACAGGGAGAAGAGGAAGAACCGCAAGUUCGAGAAGACGAUCCGCUACGCCUCCCGCAAGGCCUACGCAGAAACGCGACCAAGGAUCAAGGGCAGGUUCGCCAAGCGGACGGAGAUCGACACGGAGAUGGACCACAUCUUCUCCUCCCCCGCCGCCACCCUCGUCGUCGACUCCGGCUACGGUCUGGUCCCCUCUUUUUGACCGGCGGCGCCGCCAUCUUCUCCGGCGACGGUUAGAUGUAGCCCCCCCCACCGUGUCCUGUUCCUCUAUCCUUCCCCCCUCUUCCCUCCCUCGGGCCUACCCUUUUUCCCCGCUGGUGCCUCCUUUCCCUGCUCCUUGUGUAUAUUAU